rnacentral:rRNA from 1 species
UACGUAUGGUGCAAGCGUUAUCCGGAUUUACUGGGCGUAAAGGGAGCGCAGGCGGCGCGCCAAGUCUGAUGUGAAACCCCGGGGCUCAACCCCGGGCAUGCAUUGGAAACUGGCGGGCUGGAGUGCCGGAGAGGUAAGCGGAAUUCCUAGUGUAGCGGUGAAAUGCGUAGAUAUUAGGAGGAACACCAGUGGCGAAGGCGGCUUGCUGGACGGCAACUGACGCUGAGGCUCGAAAGCGUGGGGAGCAAACAGG